rnacentral:misc_RNA from 1 species
CGGCAGCGUCAGAUGUGUAUAAGAGACAGGUGAGUCAUCGAAUCUUUGAACGCACCUUGCGCUAGCUGGAAUUCCGGCUAGCAUGCCUGUUUGAGUAUCAGUUUACUAAUCCCCAGGAUUCUGGGGGAUCUGGGCUUCGUGGUAACACAUGCCUUAAAUAGAUGAGUACUAAGCCAAGUGCAAAUAGAGCCAGUCCGAAAGGAAUGUCUAUUGGCGCUUAGGUGAAGUAUAGACACACACCUUAUGAUCUCAAAUCAAGCAAGAUAACCCGCUGAACUUAAGCAUAUCAAUAAGCGGAGG